rnacentral:rRNA from 1 species
UACGUAGGGGGCAAGCGUUGUCCGGAUUUAUUGGGCGUAAAGAGCGUGUAGGCGGUUUGGUAGGUCCGUUGUGAAAACUCGAGGCUCAACCUCGAGACGCCGGCGGAAACCAUCAGGCUAGAGUCCGGAAGAGGAGAGUGGAAUUCCUGGUGUAGCGGUGAAAUGCGCAGAUAUCAGGAAGAACACCCGUGGCGAAGGCGGCUCUCUGGAACGCAACUGACGCUGAGACGCGAAAGCGUGGGGAGCAAACAGG